CAUAUCAAUAAGCGGAGGAAAAGAAACUAACAAGGAUUCCCUCAGUAACGGCGAGUGAAGCGGGAAGAGCUCAAAUUUAAAAUCUGGUUUGCUUGCAAGCCCGAGUUGUAGUCUGAAGAAACGUUUUCCAUAAGCACUGAGGCAAAAGUCCCUUGGAACAGGGCAUCAUAGAGGGUGAGAAUCCCGUCCAUGGUCUCAAGUUGUUUAUUUUGUGAUACGUUUUCAAAGAGUCAGGUUGUUUGGGAAUGCAGCCUAAAAUGGGUGGUAAAUUUCAUCUAAAGCUAAAUAUUGGCGAGAGACCGAUAGCGAACAAGUACCGUGAGGGAAAGAUGAAAAGAACUUUGAAAAGAGAGUUAAACAGUACGUGAAAUUGUUGAAAGGGAACCGUUUGAAGCCAGUCUUACUUGCCUGUGAUCAAUUUUUGCYUCGGCAUGAAUGCACUCUCGGGUAUGGUAGGCCAACGACAGUUUGRAAUGCGAGAAAAAAAUAGAGGAAAUGUGGCCUUCGGGUGUUAUAGUCCUYUAUAAAAUAUCGUGUUCUGGACUGAGGAUCGCAGCAAAAAYGUGGGCAGGUGGAUUUCUGUGGUAACUGUCGGUUAGGACAACUUGUUGACCUAGUCUUCCUUAGCCUCACU
rnacentral:rRNA from 1 species